rnacentral:lncRNA from 1 species
GAGCUGCGUUCCAGAGGAGUUGCACCUUCUUACAUUCCUCACAGCAGUGGAUUCAGGGAAUUCAUGGAGAUCAGAGGAUAACUUGUGGAGUCAGUUCUCUCCUUCCACCAUGUAGCUCCGAGGGGUUCAACUCGGGUCGUCAGACUUGGUGUUAUGGAGACUGAAGUCCCAUGACAAACUGCAAGUGGGAGACCCUUGGAUGCUGGCAGUGUGACUUCGGCCAAGUCCCAAAGACUUCAUAACUAAGGAAGCCUGUGGUUCCUUAGACUAGGUCCAGGGUCAAAGGUCUCCUGAGAAAACUGGAUAGGGAAAGCAUAGGUAUAAAUCUUGGAGUUCAAAAGCAGGAGAAGAAUGCCCAG